CAAGGCCCUCAGACUGAAGAACUCUUGCAGCAGUGUCAGCCCAAGGGGCUCAGGAACCAGAAAGCAAGCAGACUCAUCGAGGGACAGCCUGCUCCUGGAAAUUCACAGCAAGAACUUUCUUCUCUCUUUCCUAAAAGUGAUCUUUGAUCCCACCAACCCACCUACCUCAAAGGAGGGAGAUUCAUUCUAAGGAGCCAUGAUUCUUGUGCCCAUUCUCCCCUUUGUGGUGAUCUUCAUACUGACAGAAACAACAGAAGCACAAUCAGUGACUCAGCCUGAAGACCAGGUUUCUGUCUUAGAAGGGUCCUCAGUGAAGCUGAAAUGUAACUAUUCUGUUUCUACGAGUCCUUAUCUCUUCUGGUAUGUCAAGUAUCCCAAGCAAGGGCUUCAAGUCCUCCUGAGACACACUUCAGAGGAAAGUAACAAAGGUUUCCAGGCCAAACUCAACAAGGAUGAAAGCUCCUACCAUUUGAGAAAACUCCAUGUUCAAGAAGAAGACUCGGCUACGUACUUCUGUGCUGUGAGUGACACAGUGAGAGUGCUCACAAGAGAAGCUGAACACAAACCUCCUGAGACAGUCUUUGAAAUGUUCCUCUAAGGAUGGUUUAUUUUCUUUUGUUUUCUUUUCACAGUCCCUCAGACACAGCAGUACUGUUCCCAAGGAACAAUAAAAAGUCAUAGAAUUAUAGGAUUUAGAAUUAGAAGGGGCUUGGAAGACUAGUCCAAAGCUCUUAGUUAAUAAGUGAGAAUACUGAGGCAGAGAAUAGUUGAACAACUUGGCAAAAAUUUUACAGCUGGAAAGUAACAAUACAGUUAUUGUAUUCCUUCAGAAUACAGAUAUACCAAACUAUCAAUUCCUCACAAACACUUGUGACUGAAGAGAUGAGUCCCAAACAUUUAAAAUUCCCACAUUUCUCUCUGUAUACAUUUGAUAUUAUCAGGGAAAGUCUGAGAAUUCUUUUGGGCCAGAGCUUCAAACCAAAUGACAGUCCAGAACCUUACUCUCCCUAUAGUUCAAUCUUCUUUUUAGUUUUGUUGACUCUGGAUACAUGGAAAAUUUCAGGAUAGUGUGAUGGAAAGCACAAUGGAAGACAAGCAUUCUAAAUCUGACUUUGUCACUUACUAACUGUGUAACUUUAGGCAAAUAAUUUUAUCUCUUUGUUUCCUCAAUUUAAAUAGUAAUAAUAAUGAUAUAAAAGAUGGACUUGACCACUGAGAUGCCAGUCCUGGGAAAUGACUAAUCCUCCUUGGUCAGUCCUUUAUUACAAUCUCUAGCAAAUACAGAAGGAACAUAAAUAAGUCUCAGAGGACUUCACACCCAAUUCUGAUUGGCACUUACAUUUUGGGUCCUCAAAGGAAUGACUUUUACUGUUUUCUGGAAUGGACCUUUAUUGGCUAGUCCCUAAUUAAGAGCACUUGCAAUAUCGUCCUUACAACUCGUUAUGAGGAAACAUCUUGUGAUUUAUGAAUUACAGAUGAGAGGCUGUAUGGUCCAGUAGAAAGAGCACAAUUUCUAGUGAUGAAGGAUCCGGGUCCAAAUUUGUCUUCAUGAUUACUCUCUUGUCAUUCUGGAUAAGUUACUUAGCCUAUCUGAACCUUGAUCAGACGAGUUUCAGCCAAUUUUAUGCAUCCCGGUCCAUUGCCAGUCAUCUUGAGUCUUGUCCUGCACUGGCCUCCAAGACUCUAGAGGAGAGAAUGAAACUGAUGACUUUGUAAAGCUGUGCCUUGCUUAUAUCUAUUUUACAGGCAAGUCAAGAUCUAAAAAUUGGUCUCUUCAUUGGUCCUCUGUAAGGAUAAAGGACAAACAACAACAAAUCUAAGAUCCUAUAAUCUCUUGAAGUUCUUCUGUGCUGUAUUAUAUAAAUUAACCCCAUUUUUCUAGAGAGUUGAGCCUUCAUUCCAACCUGGUCUUUGAUCUCUUUCAACUAUGUCCACUUCUAUUGAUUUGGGAGCUGUCUAAACACCCAGGGUGUUUAUUCUCUUAUUUUGGAGGAUGAAUUAUCAUAUUAUUAAUGACCUCUUACUAUCUCACCUCUUACUGUCUACCACUUUUUACCAGAUUCCUGCAAAGCUUUGUUAGGGAAGUUUUUAGCAAAAAGAAAAACAAAACAAAACAAAACAGAAUAAACCUCUCACUAAGUGUAGGUAAUCUUAGUUCAAUCCUACCUCUGAUGUCUGUGUAAAUUUCACCUGUAUAAACUUUGAGUAAAUCCAUUAACUUU